GUCCAGCGGCGGGAAUCGAACCCACAACGUUCCGCUUACCGGGCAGAUGCCAUGUCCACUAGGCUACCCUGGA
rnacentral:tRNA from 1 species